rnacentral:rRNA from 1 species
CGAGAUGUAAAGGGUAUCCCUAAAGCCCAUCGUGUCGUCCUGAACGAGCAGACCAGCUCCUGAAACGAGCGAAGCGAAAUUGAUGGUGAGAACGCCGGAGCUGUCGUAGAGCAGCUUGUCCCCGGCAGCAAAUCCGCCAUUCCACCAACUGCCCUGAUUGAGCCGCAGGAGCGAUCCUUCGUCCGAGACCGAUAGCGCACAAGUA